rnacentral:rRNA from 1 species
AUUGAACGCUGGCGGCAGGCCUAACACAUGCAAGUCGAGCGAGCGGCGGACGGGUGAGUAAUGUCUGGGAACCUGCCUGAUGGAGGGGGAUAACUACUGGAAACGGUAGCUAAUACUGCAUACCAUCAGAUGUGCCCAGAUGGGAUUAGCUAGUAGGUGGGUUAACGGCUCACCUAGGCGACGAUCCCUACCUGGUCUGAGAGGAUGACCAGCCACACUGGAACGGAGACACGGUCAGAACUCCUACGGGGGGCAGAAGUGGGGAAUAUUGCACAAGGGGGGCAAGCCUGAUGCAGCAAUGCCGCGGGGGUGAAGAAGGCCUUCGGGUUGUAAAGCGCUUUCAGCGGGGAGGCGUUACCCGCAGAGAAAGCACCGGCUAACUCCGUGCCAGCAGCCGCGGUAAUUC